rnacentral:tRNA from 2 species
GGAGAGGUUCCCGAGCGGCCAAAGGGGGCAGACUGUAAAUCUGUUGGCGCAGUCCUUCGGAGGUUCGAUCCCUCCCCUCUCCACCA